AACGCACCUUGCGCUCCUUGGUAUUCCGAGGAGCAUGCCUGUUUGAGUGUCAUUAAUAUAUCAACUUCUUCAGCUUUUGCUUGUUGAGUGUUGGAUGUGGGGGUCUUUUUGCUGGUCUUUCCAAGGUCAGCUCCCCUGAAAUGCAUUAGCGGAACAAUUUGUGGACCGUUCAUUGGUGUGAUAACUAUCUACGCUAUUGACGUGAAGCAGUUCAGCUUCUAACAGUCCAUUGACUUGGACAAAUUUUCAUUAAUGUGACCUCAAAUCAGGUAGGACUACCCGCUGAACUUAA
rnacentral:misc_RNA from 1 species